rnacentral:rRNA from 1 species
UACGGAAGGUCCGGGCGUUAUCCGGAUUUAUUGGGUUUAAAGGGAGCGUAGGCCGGUCUUUAAGCGUGCCGUGAAAUUUUGUGGCUCAACCAUAAAAUUGCCGUUGAAACUGGAAGACUUGAGUGUGUUUGAGGUAGGCGGAAUGCGUGGUGUAGCGGUGAAAUGCAUAGAUAUCACGCAGAACGCCGAUUGCGAAGGCAGCAUACCGGCGCCCAACUGACGCUGAGGCACGAAAGCGUGGGUAUCGAACAGG